rnacentral:tRNA from 2 species
UUUAAUAUGGCAGAUAAGUGCAAUGAAUUUAAACUUCAUAUAUAAAAAUAUUACUUUUUUAUUAAAA